GCUACAACUAAAUUUUUGCACAGGUCUACAGAUGCAGAUCCUCCCUCUUUCUUAUUAUGGUGGGGGAGAUCUGAGAAUUUUUAAAAUUCUUUGGAGACCCAUAGCCAUUGAAAUGAGAUGACUAGCCAUCACUUUGGGGGGGAUGGAGGACAAUGGCAAGUUCACAUCCUAAUGUCAUUAGGUUUAAUAUCCCCCACCUGAAGCCUGUGG